CACAAAUGCUGAUGCUAAUAAAUGUUAAUUCAUCUCAGGAAUGAGAACCUGGGAGAAGGACUGCUUCAUUCAAAAGCAGUGAUUUGCUGUUAUGUUUAAAGUGCCACAUUUAUUAUGUAUUAUGAUUUUAAUGCCACACAGAGUACAUCGUCAGCUGAUGUUCUUACAAGUGUUGCCUGAAAUUACCAAGUUGUCUGUCAAACUGCUGUCUUUUACAGUAAGAAUGCUGAUUACUAGAGAUGAGAGUCAUCCAAGAGAAAGUGAACAGAUUGAUGUGUGUUCAAUGUUAUGUCCAAACUGUCAUCUGAAUUUUUGAACAACCUCUUUAUCAGAGCUCAGGCAUUUUGAUCUCAGUCUGGGUUUUCUGUGGAUGGGAACUCAUAGUCUUAAUCCUUAGUUGCACAGGGAAAAGUCUGAUCCCUAUUGAUUCAGUGACAGAAAAAACACUUCAACCUCAGAACGGUGAUUGACAUGAUAAACUGGACUAGACUUGAUAAAGGAUGAGGGGAAAAUAAGAAAACUGAGCUUCUCUGUUAUCUGAGAUCUGCUCGAAGCUGGUACAAUCUAUCUACAGCAGUGCUGUGAGCUGUGCCUGAGAUCUGAUCCUGGAUUUCAUUAAUGCACACACCUUCCUAAUCAUAUGUUGUGGAGCAGCCCUAUGGGAAGGGGACAUGUGUUAGAUUGGCCUGGAGACAAAAAAUGAGAUGAGAGGAACAAAUUACUGCCUUCAGCUUCCUAAUGGGGAAGUUGAAUAUGUAAGCUGAACAUGGAAAAGACGGAGCCAGUCUUUUCUCAAGCAAACUCUACUAAAGAGAAGCAAAUGGUCAUGAUACAGCAAAGGCAGAAGAUGUCAGAAGAACAAAUUUCACCGUAACAGAGAUCAAGCACUUCAAGCAGUCAUUCAGAGAGGAUGUGGUGUCUCCAUCCCUGCAGACCUUCAGAACUCCUCUGGACAGGACCUGAUUGACCUGACCAAAUUUCAAAGUAAGCUUGGCGCAAGGAUUAGUCCAGUAGACCUUCAGAAGUUUUUGCUGACCUCAAUUAUUCAACAAUUCUGUUAAU
rnacentral:lncRNA from 1 species